rnacentral:rRNA from 1 species
GGUUGGAAAGUCAGGUGUGAAAGCCUACAGCUUAACUGUAGAACUGCACUUGAAACUCCCAACCUAGAGUAUGGAAGGGGCAGAUGGAAUUAGUGGUGUAGGGGUAAAAUCCGUAGAUAUCACUAGGAAUACCCAAAGCGAAGGCGAUCUGCUGGGACAUUACUGACGCUAAGGCGUGAAAGCGUGGGGAGCAAACAGGAUUAGAUACCCUGGUAGUCCACGCCCUAAACGAUGAACACUAGUCGUCGCUCUGCUAGUCAGGGCGGUGAUGCACUUAACAGAUUAAGUGUUCCGCCUGGGGAGUACGGUCGCAAGAUUAAAACUCAAAGGAAUAGACGGGGACCCGCACAAGUGGUGGAGCAUGUGGUUUAAUUCGAAGAUACGCGAAGAACCUUACCUGGCCUUGACAUUGAUUGAACACUCUAGAGAUAGAGUGGUGCCCUUCGGGGAACAUGAAAACAGGUGCUGCACGGCUGUCGUCAGCUCGUGUCGUGAGAUGUUGGGUUAAGUCCCGCAACGAGCGCAACCCUCGUCCUUAGUUGCAAACUAUUCGGUAGUGCACUCUAAGGAGACUGCCUUCGCAAGGAGGAGGAAGGUGAGGACGACGUCAAGUCAUCAUGGCCCUUAUGGCCAGGGCUACACACGUGCUACAAUGGGGCGUACAGAGUGUUGCGAUACCGCG